rnacentral:rRNA from 1 species
CCCUAGUAACUGCGAGUGAAGCGGGAAAAGCUCAAAUUUAAAAUCUGGCGGUCCCUGUGGCUGUCCGAGUUGUAAUCUAGAGAAGUGCUAUCCGCGCUGGACCGUGUACAAGUCUCCUGGAACGGAGCGUCAUAGAGGGUGAGAAUCCCGUCUUUGACACGGACUACCAGGGCUUUGUGAUGUGCUCUCAAAGAGUCGAGUUGUUUGGGAAUGCAGCUCUAAAUGGGUGGUAAAUUCCAUCUAAAGCUAAAUAUUGGCGAGAGACCGAUAGCGAACAAGUACCGUGAGGGAAAGAUGAAAAGAACUUUGGAAAGAGAGUUAAACAGUACGUGAAAUUGUUGAAAGGGAAACGCUUGAAGUCAGUCGCGUUGGCCGGGGAUCAACCUUGCUCUUUUGCUUGGUGUACUUCCCAGUCGACGGGUCAGCAUCAAUUUUGACCGGUGGAUAAAGGUCAGGGGAAUGUGGCAUCUUCGGAUGUGUUAUAGCCCUUGGUUGCAUACAUCGGUUGGGAUUGAGGAACUCAGCACGCCGCAAGGCCGGGUCUUUGACCACGUACGUGCUUAGGAUGCUGGCAUAAUGGCUUUAAUCGACCCGUCUUGAAACACGGACCAAGGAGUCUAACAUGCCCGCGAGUGUUUGGGUGGAAAACCCGGACGCGUAAUGAAAGUGAAAGUUGAGAUCCCUGUCGUGGGGAGCAUCGACGCCCGGACCAGACCUUUUGUGACGGUCCCGCGGUAGAGCGUGUAUGUUGGGACCCGAAAGAUGGUGAACUAUGCCUGAAUAGGGUGAAGCCAGAGGAAACUCUGGUGGAGGCUCGUAGCGAUUCUGACGUGCAAAUCGAUCGUCGAAUUUGGGUAUAG